rnacentral:rRNA from 2 species
ACGGGAGGCAGCAGUGGGGAAUAUUGCACAAUGGGCGAAAGCCUGAUGCAGCGACGCCGCGUGAGUGAAGAAGUAUUUCGGUAUGUAAAGCUCUAUCAGCAGGGAAGAAAAUGACGGUACCUGACUAAGAAGCCCCGGCUAACUACGUGCCAGCAGCCGCGGUAAUACGUAGGGGGCAAGCGUUAUCCGGAUUUACUGGGUGUAAAGGGAGCGUAGACGGUCCGGCAAGUCUGAAGUGAAAUCCCGGGGCUCAACCCCGGUGCUGCUUUGGAAACUGUCGGACUUGAGUACUGGAGAGGUAAGCGGAAUUCCUAGUGUAGCGGUGAAAUGCGUAGAUAUUAGGAGGAACACCAGUGGCGAAGGCGGCUUACUGGACAGUAACUGACGUUGAGGCUCGAAAGCGUGGGGAGCAAACAGGAUUAGAUACCCUGGUA